CCUACGGGAGGCAGCAGUGAGGAAUAUUGGUCAAUGGACGAGAGUCUGAACCAGCCAAGUAGCGUGAAUGAUGACUGCCCUAUGGGUUGUAAACUUCUUUUAUAUGGGAAUAAAAUGCUCCAUGUGUGGGAUUUUGUAUGUACCAUAUGAAUAAGGCUCGGCUAACUCCUUGCCAGCAGCCGCGGUAAUACGGAGGCUCCGAGCGUUAUCCGGAUUUAUUUGGUUUAAAGGGGGCUGAGGUAGAUUGUUAAUUCAUUUGUGCAAGUUUGCGGCUCAAACGUAACAUUGCAGUGGAUACUGGCAGUCUGGAGUACACAACAGGCAGGCGGAAGUCGUGGUGUAGCGGUGAAAUGCAUAGAGAUCACGAGGAACCCCGAUUGCGAAGGCAGCAUGCCGGGGUGCGACUGACGCUGAGGCUCGAAGGUGCGGGUAUCGAACAGGAGUAGAUACCCUGGUAGUC
rnacentral:rRNA from 1 species